AUACUCUGAUUUAUCCUCAGAUUGCAUAAAUCUUUUUGCCUUUUACUAAAGAUUUCCAUAAAUAGGAACAAUUCUUAGUUUUCAACCAAAUUUUUGAGAACUUACUCCUGUGAGGUU